rnacentral:lncRNA from 1 species
CCCGGAUUGAUCCCUGCCAGGCGGCGUUCUGGAAGGACUUGGAUUUCAGCCAUGGGAAGAAGACUAACCACGCUCAUUCUGGGUCAAGUGCAAAAUGCUGGAGGAUGACAUGUUGGCUUCACCUGGGCCAGGUGCCCACCCUGGAACUAAUCAACUGGAACCAGGGACAAGGGGCAUGUUUUAGUAAUGUGGUAGCUCCCUAUGGAUCCAGGAAAGGACAGGCAGUGGGUAGGAAGGAAGGAGGGGCUACCAGGACACAAUGGCGACUCAGCAAAGGAGACUAAGGAGCCGCAGCAGAGAAUGAGGAAACCCAAGAGAGUGUCCUGGAAGUCAAGUGAGAUGAAAGUAUGUUUGUGUGCUGAUGGGAAUGAUCCAGAAGGAGGGGUGGAGAUGGAGGAAACAGGAGCGAAAUGGGGAAAUUCCUGGAUCAACAUCUUUAAGCAGGAUGGAAGACAGCACCCUCCUCUGCAGACGUGGGGAGCAGAACAAGAGAAAAUUUAUGUAAAGCAGACCACCUG